GUGGGGAAUUUUGGACAAUGGGCGCAAGCCUGAUCCAGCAAUGCCGCGUGCAGGAAGAAGGCCUUCGGGUUGUAAACUGCUUUUGUACGGAACGAAACGGUCCGGGUUAAUACCCUGGGCUAAUGACGGUACCGUAAGAAUAAGCACCGGCUAACUACGUGCCAGCAGCCGCGGUAAUACGUAGGGUGCAAGCGUUAAUCGGAAUUACUGGGCGUAAAGCGUGCGCAGGCGGUUUUGUAAGACAGGCGUGAAAUCCCCGGGCUCAACCUGGGAAUUGCGCUUGUGACUGCAAGGCUGGAGUGCGGCAGAGGGGGAUGGAAUUCCGCGUGUAGCAGUGAAAUGCGUAGAUAUGCGGAGGAACACCGAUGGCGAAGGCAAUCCCCUGGGCCUGCACUGACGCUCAUGCACGAAAGCGUGGUGAGCAAACAGGAUUAGAAACCCGGGUAGUCC
rnacentral:rRNA from 1 species